ACUUACUCUCCUGAUGUCGCCAAU
rnacentral:siRNA from 1 species